rnacentral:rRNA from 1 species
GAUGAACGCUGGCGGCGUGCUUAACACAUGCAAGUCGAACGGAAAGGCCCAAGCUUGCUUGGGUACUCGAGUGGCGAACGGGUGAGUAACACGGGGGUGAUCUGCCCUGCACUUCGGGAUAAGCCUGGGAAACUGGGUCUAAUACCGGAUAGGUCCACUUCGUAGUUGUUGUGGUGGAAAGUUUUUUCUGUGUGGGAUGAGCUCGCGGCCUAUCAGCUUGUUGGUGGGGUAAUGGCCUACCAAGGCGUCGACGGGUAGCCGGCCUGAGAGGGUGUACGGCCACAUUGGGACUGAGAUACGGCCUAGACUCCUACGGGAGGCAGCAGUGGGGAAUAUCGCACCAUGGGCGGAAGCCUGAUGCAGCGACGCCGCGUGGGGGAUGACGGCCUUCGGGUUGUAAACUCCUUUCGCCAACGACGAAUUUAGGACGGUAUUUGGAGAAGAAGCACCGGCUAACUACGUG